rnacentral:rRNA from 1 species
UACGGAGGAUGCGAGCGUUAUCCGGAUUUACUGGGUGUAAAGGGAGCGUAGACGGCAGCGCAAGUCUGGAGUGAAAUGCCGGGGCCCAACCCCGGAACUGCUUUGGAAACUGUGCGGCUGGAGUGCAGGAGAGGCAGGCGGACUUCCUAGUGUAGCGGUGAAAUGCGUAGAUAUUAGGAGGAACACCAGUGGCGAAGGCGGCCUGCUGGACUGUAACUGACGUUGAGGCUCGAAAGCGUGGGGAGCAAACAGG